UCCUCAAGGCUUACUUCUAAGGUUACCAGU
rnacentral:piRNA from 1 species